CGAACGAUGAAGCUCUAGCUUGCUAGAGUGGAUUAGUGGCGCACGGGUGAGGAAUAUAUAGCUAAUGUGCCCCAUAGAGGGGGAUAACAGUUGGAAACGACUGCUAAUACCCCAUACUCCUUCUUCUCAUAAGGGAAGUCGGGAAAGUUUUUUCGCUAUGGGAUCGGGCUAUACGGUAUCAGCUUGUUGGUGAGGUAACGGCUCACCAAGGCUAUGACGCCUAUCUGGUCUGAGAGGAUGAUCAGACACACUGGAACUGAGACACGGUCCAGACUCCUACGGGAGGCAGCAGUGGGGAAUAUUACACAAUGGAGGCAACUCUGAUGUAGCAACGCCGCGUGGAGGAUGACACAUUUUCGGUGCGUAAACUCCUUUUAUAUAGGAAGAUAAUGACGGUACUAUAUGAAUAAGCACCGGCUAACUCCGUGCCAGCAGCCGCGGUAAUACGGAGGGUGCAAGCGUUACUCGGAAUCACUGGGCGUAAAGCGCGCGCAGGCGGCCCCUUAAGUUGGAUGUGAAAUCCUAUGGCUCAACCAUAGAACUGCAUCCAAAACUGAGGGGCUAGAGUCUGGGAGGGGAAGAUGGAAUUAGUGGUGUAGGGGUAAAAUCCGUAGAGAUCACUAGGAAUACCAAAAGCGAAGGCGAUCUUCUGGAACAGUACUGACGCUGAGGCGCGAAAGCGUGGGGAGCAAACAGGAUUAGAUACCCUGGUAGUCCACGCCCUAAACUAUGAAUGUUAGUCGUCGGGAGGCUCGUCCUCUCGGUGAUGCAGCUAACGCAUUAAACAUUCCGCCUGGGGAGUACGGUCGCAAGAUUAAAACUCAAAGGAAUAGACGGGGACCCGCACAAGUGGUGGAGCAUGUGGUUUAAUUCGAAGAUACGCGAAGAACCUUACCUGGCCUUGACAUUGAUAGAAUCUGCUAGAGAUAGCGGAGUGCCCUUCGGGGAGCUUGAAAACAGGUGCUGCACGGCUGUCGUCAGCUCGUGUCGUGAGAUGUUGGGUUAAGUCCCGCAACGAGCGCAACCCUCGUCACUAGUUACUAACGGUUCGGCCGAGGACUCUAGUGAGACUGCCUUCGUAAGGAGGAGGAAGGUGAGGACGACGUCAAGUCAUCAUGGCCCUUACGGCCAGGGCGACACACGUGCUACAAUGGGAUGUACAAUGAGACGCAAUACCGCGAGGUGGAGCAAAUCUAUAAAGCAUCUCUCAGUUCGGAUUGUAGUCUGCAACUCGACUACAUGAAGCUGGAAUCACUAGUAAUCGUAGAUCAGCCAUGCUACGGUGAAUACGUUCCCGGGUCUUGUACUCACCGCCCGUCACACCAUGGGAGUUGAUUUCACCCGAAGCGGGGAAGCUAAAC
rnacentral:rRNA from 1 species